GACGAACCGUCCAAACGUUAUUCGGAAUCACUGGGCUUACAGAGUUCGUAGGCGGUCUGGAAAGUUGGGUGUGAAAUCCCUCGGCUCAACCGAGGAACUGCGCUUGAAACUACCAGACUCGAGGGAGAUAGAGGAAAGCGGAACUGAUGGUGGAGCGGUGAAAUGCGUUGAUAUCAUCAGGAACACCGGUGGCGAAGGCGGCUUUCUGGGUCGGUACUGACGCUGAGACGCGAAAGCGUGGGGAGCGAACAGG
rnacentral:rRNA from 1 species